AGUCGAACGGGACUCUUCGGAGUUCAGUGGCGGACGGGUGAGUAACGCGUGAGAAUCUACCUUCAGGUCUGGGACAACCACUGGAAACGGUGGCUAAUACCGGAUGUGCCAUACAGUGAAAGAUUUAUCGCCUGAAGAUGAGCUCGCGUCUGAUUAGCUAGUUGGUGAGGUAAAAGCUCACCAAGGCGACGAUCAGUAGCUGGUCUGAGAGGAUGAUCAGCCACACUGGAACUGAGACACGGUCCAGACUCCUACGGGAGGCAGCAGUGGGGAAUUUUCCGCAAUGGGCGAAAGCCUGACGGAGCAAGACCGCGUGAGGGAGGAAGGCUCUUGGGUUGUAAACCUCUUUUGUCAGGGAAGAAGAAAGUGACGGUACCUGACGAAUCAGCCUCGGCUAACUCCGUGCCAGCAGCCGCGGUAAUACGGAGGAGGCAAGCGUUAUCCGGAAUCAUUGGGCGUAAAGCGUCCGCAGGUGGCUAUUCAAGUCUGCUGUCAAAGCACAGGGCUUAACCCUGUUAAGGCGGUGGAAACUGAAAGGCUAGAGUGCGGUAGGGGUAGAGGGAAUUCCCGGUGUAGCGGUGAAAUGCGUAGAG
rnacentral:rRNA from 1 species